UACGUAGGGCGCAAGCGUUAUCCGGAAUUAUUGGGCGUAAAGAGCUCGUAGGCGAUUUGUCGCGUCUGCCGUGAAAGUCCGGGGCUCAACUCCGGAUCUGCGGUGGGUACGGGCAGACUAGAGUGAUGUAGGGGGAGACUGGAAUUCCUGGUGUAGCGGUGAAAUGCGCAGAUAUCAGGAGGAACACCGAUGGCGAAGGCAGGUCUCUGGGCAUUAACUGACGCUGAGGAGCGAAAGCAUGGGGAGCGAACAGG
rnacentral:rRNA from 1 species